rnacentral:lncRNA from 1 species
GGAGUUCACUGCUAAAGUCACAGCACCAGCUACUGCAAAGGGCCAGUCAGAAACUCUGUUCCUCUCUGAAGUAAAGAAACAGCCCUCAGUUACAGUAACAGAAGAAGACAGGCAACCAAAGCCCUGCACCACUGACAAUAAGGACCAAUCUGAAGCCUUUACAAACAAGAAGAAAAAGAGGGACACUUCCAAACCCAAACCUGGGGUAGUGGUGGGAGAGGAACAGCAGACUUCUCCCACAACAGAAUCAGAAAUUUCCCCUGAAGCAGAUUCUCCAGUCUCCGGAAAGAAAAAGAAAAAGAAUUGGUUGAAAGCUGAGGUACAAUCAGAUGGAAUGAAGACUCAGUCACAGGUCAGUGCAGAGGCAGAGAUCACUUCAGUAAGUUGUGAGACAUCAGAAGAAACCACAAUGACAACACCGAAAACUGAUGCUACAGUCCCUGCUAAGAAGAGCAGGAAGGUCAUGAAGGCUGCAAGCAAACCUGAGGGGAUCAAGGGGGUAUCACAGGUUUAUAGUGUGAGUUCAGAAGAGGAUGGCACAUCAGUAAGCUUUGAGGAAUCUUCAGAAGGUGACACAAUCACCAAACUCAAAAAGCCAACUGGAGCUAUAAUUCCUGUCAAAAAGAAUAAUAACAAAAAGGGCCUCAAGGCUGAUGCCCAUGUUGAGAUAGAGGGAGAACACGCCAAUACUGAGAUCACAUCUGAAGCAUUACAAAAUACCACUGCAGUGCCAGUUAAAAAGAAGACAAAGAAAAGGGGAACGCAGAAACUGGAACACAGCUUUGUAGCUUCACCUGUUGCAGAUGACAGCAUUGAAACACCACUGAAGAACAAAAGUAAAAGGAAUCGUAAAGAAACUAAGACUUCAGUGAAAGAGGAACAAGUAGUAGAUGAAACCCUGCAGGAUACAGAGCUCCCACUGGAUGAAAUUGAGGUGGUUUCCUCCUACAGCAAACUGACCAAAAAGAAGAAGAGGAAACUUUUGCCGAGAAGACAAAACGUGGAAAUGAUUUUGAAGAGCCAUCCACACCUCUGA